AAAGGUGAAGGAUUGGAAUUGAUGGACCCAUCACUUGUAAAUUCAAGUGUGGUGGCUGAGGUGCUAAAGUGCAUCCACAUUGGAUUGUUGUGUGUGCAAGACGACCCAGCAGAGAGACCUACUAUGUCAUCUGUUGUUGUUAUGCUGGGAAGUGAUACCUUGACACUUCCUGAACCCAGACAACCAGUAUUUUCUGUUGGGCAAUUUGUUGCAAGAUUAGCUCCAUUUUCAAGUCCCAAAAUUUGUUCUGUUAAUCAG
rnacentral:misc_RNA from 1 species